UCGUCCAUGCUCGCGGCCUAUCAGCUUGUUGGUGGGGUAAUGGCCUACCAAGGCUUCGACGGGUAGCCGGCCUGAGAGGGCGACCGGCCACACUGGGACUGAGAUACGGCCCAGACUCCUACGGGAGGCAGCAGUGGGGAAUAUUGCACAAUGGGCGAAAGCCUGAUGCAGCGACGCCGCGUGAGGGAUGAAGGCCUUCGGGUUGUAAACCUCUUUCGGCAGGGACGAAGCGCAAGUGACGGUACCUGCAGAAGAAGCGCCGGCCAACUACGUGCCAACAGCCGCGGUAAGACGUAGGGCGCAAGCGUUGUCCGGAUUUAUUGGGCGUAAAGAGCUCGUAGGCGGCCUGUCGCGUCGACUGUGAAAAACCACGACUCAACCGUGGGGCUGCAGUCGAUACGGGCAGGCUAGAGUUCGGUAGGGGAGACUGGAAUUCCUGGUGUAGCGGUGAAAUGCGCAGAUAUCAGGAGGAACACCGGUGGCGAAGGCGGGUCUCUGGGCCGAUACUGACGCUGAGGAGCGAAAGCGUGGGGAGCGAACAGGAUUAGAUACCCUGGUAGUCCACGCUGUAAACGUUGGGCGCUAGGUGUGGGGGGCCUCUCCGGUCCUCUGUGCCGCAGCUAACGCAUUAAGCGCCCCGCCUGGGGAGUACGG
rnacentral:rRNA from 1 species